UAUAAUCCGCUCAAAAUCAUGGAAUCACGCCAAAGUAAUGUAAUAGCAGAUUGCAUAAAUGUAUAUUAUAAAUUGAGACUCGCAGCACGUCUACGUGAGAAGAUAAUAAGCUUAGCGAACACGUAGUUCUCUCCCAAAAAAUCAAUUUCGCCGCUCAAGUUCAAGUCUGAUCCAGUGGGUGGUUGAUGGAGAUAUUGGACCUGACAUCGGCGUCG
rnacentral:lncRNA from 1 species